AGGAGCGAAGGCCUUUUCUUGCAUCAGAGUGUAAUGAGCUGCCCAAAGCUGAGAAAUGGAGGAGACAGAUCAUUGGGGAGAUUUCCAAGAAAGUGGCACAGAUCCAAAAUGCUGGAUUGGGUGAAUUCAGAAUUCGGGACCUGAACGAUGAAAUAAACAAACUUCUGAGGGAGAAAGGACAUUGGGAGUACAGAAUAAAGGAGCUGGGAGGUCCUGAUUAUGCUAGGAUUGGCCCAAAAAUGUUAG